AGAAAUAAUUUACUUGGCUGCAAGUGCCUCAGUGAAUGAUGAGCAGAAAAGAGACAAAAUAACUGAAGAAUGAUUUUAGAAGCAACACUUGCAGGCCAAUUGCUCAGAGGCAGUGCCAGAAAAUAAGGCAAGACUUCUUUUAUUAAACAUGAUUGCUGUGACCUUCUCUGGUUAACCUACAGAAGGAAAAAUGAGCUAUGCACUGCGUAUGAUUUGUUGUUAUUACAGCUGGGCUGUUUUUCAGUGAACCCAUAAAAGCUGGAAUGUUUAUAUUGAUUUAUUUUUACUUUUUUUUUUUUUCUCAAAAGAGCAAAAGCAAAUGAUAUGUCUUCUAGGACCCUUUUCUCUUUGAAAACUGUGUCUGCAAGCCCCUGCUCUCACCUCCUUUCUCUCCGUGAACAUCACAGCCAUGCCUGUCCCUCCCUCUCUCCUUCCAGGGGUACCAGGUGUUAUCCUCCUCUAAGUGCAGGGGUUGCAGCCGUACCUGACCCUUCGACAAGGCUAGUAGGGUAAGCUUUCUCUUCUCUAUCCUCUCCUGAGGCAACCACCAAUAAAGCUCCCUGGAGAACUCAUAAAUGAGAUGGAGGACAGCAAUUCAACGUAUUUAUGCGCAGCAGAGUCAAGAGAGCUGCACUGUGCCUGGGACACACACCAGCAUAGUUCCAGGCGUACCACAGGGACACAGAUCAGCGCCUCAUUUAAGCCACCCUGUCCCCAAGAACACAAUGAAGAGUGCAGCUGGACUACUUCAAAUGGAGACACUUUGUGUUUCAUGGCCACUUGCUGUUACAGGGACAUUUCUGGUGCCUUUUUGACCGUAGGCUCAUUGGUGAGGCCUGAAGCAUCAUGCAGCUGGGCAGCCAUGUGCCUCGAUGGGAAUAAAAAUCGCAGCUGUGAUGCCAUUAGCAAUAGGAUUGCUGCCAUCUGUUGGUUGGAAUCACAUGGGGAACAGGAAGAGUCCUCGAAGGGACAGUGCCAUUGAUGGUCACUUGUGUUCUGCAGACCUGACCUGGGCUCUGCUGAAUGAUGCCUUUGGGGACUUUCCCAGGCCCCCAAGAACCUGACCAGCCACUCACCUGGGGUCUUGGGUCUUGCCAAACCACCUCUGGGGUACAAAAACGCAGGCUGUGGGUCUACAAAUAUUUCCCUUUGCAGCAGUGCCAGCUCCAGCAGUUUGUGCUGCUGAUUGCUCGUGGCCACCCCACAGCUAUGCCCUUGCUAACUACUGUUCCUGGGAUGGCACCGUAGGCCAAACAAGCAAACUCACAUGGACUGGAAAUAACCAC
rnacentral:lncRNA from 1 species